GACGAACGCUGGCGGCGUGCCUAAUACAUGCAAGUGGAACGCACUGAUGAAGCCGUAGCUUGCUACAAUUUCAUCAGUGAGUCGCGAACGGGUGAGUAACGCGUAGGUAACCUGCCUGGUAGCGGGGGAUAACUAUUGGAAACGAUAGCUAAUACCGCAUAAGACAUUUUACUGCAUGGUAAGAUGUUAAAAGAUGCAACUGCAUCACUACCAGAUGGACCUGCGUUGUAUUAGCUAGUUGGUGAGGUAACGGCUCACCAAGGCCACGAUACAUAGCCGACCUGAGAGGGUGAUCGGCCACACUGGGACUGAGACACGGCCCAGACUCCUACGGGAGGCAGCAGUAGGGAAUCUUCGGCAAUGGGGGGAACCCUGACCGAGCAACGCCGCGUGAGUGAAGAAGGUUUUCGGAUCGUAAAGCUCUGUUGUAAGAGAAGAACGCGUGUGAGAGUGGAAAGUUCACACAGG
rnacentral:rRNA from 1 species